CGGUCCUCUCCCUGUGCUUUAAUAAAAUCACCUUUUUGCACCAAAGACACGUUCAAGAAUUCUUUCUUGAGCGUCGGCUCCCGACUCCCCACCAUCUCCCCAAAACUUCAUCAAGAUGAACGUGGAAACUCAACACAAGCAAGUUGUUGCCUUGUCCACGACAAAUCUUUUCUAUUCCACAACCAUCCCCUACUUUGUCACCCCCUAGCUCGUUACCCUGCUGCACUGAUGCCAGCAUGGCUCACAUACGUUUUCCCAUCAACGGCCAUCUUUUUCUCCUUCCAGUAUGAAAGAUUCUUGGGGACAGUCCCUGUGUAUUCUGUGUACCCCCAGGACUUAGUACAUUGUCGACAUAGAGUGCGCGUGGCACUGAGUGUUUUUCAAUGAAUUCAUUCAUUGUUAUCAACGGAUUCCACCCUAUUUCGUCCUGUAUUGCCUACAUAACUAUGAAAUUCAGAUUCUUCGAAGAGGCUCUUGGUGUUAUAAGAUGCUUAGUAGAGGUGGUGAGUUUUAAGACAUUAUAUUGACACCACUAAAACCUCUUGGUGGAGAAACUCAAUGAGCCCGUUCUCUGGCAUGCUGGCAAAACAAAAAACUGACCCUCAGUAUUCUUUCCCCAGGUUAGGCAUCAGCAAAUUAAUGAGAGGAGAGAGGAGGCCCCUGCUCUUGGGCACCCGCAGGAACUUACUCCAGCUCCGGACACACCGUAAACACUUUCAUCUAACGGAAGAUAAGUUGUGAAAUCAGAUUUCUGAACCACAAGACACUUGUGUAAAAACGGCAUUCCAUGCCAGGCCUGAAAUGUUCCAAAGCUCAGUUCGGUGACAAUUUGAGGUUAACUUCAAUUCCUCUCAUUUUACUAAGCCAACUUUUUCAAACCUUUUCUGUAAAGGCCAGACAGUAAAUAUUUUAGGCUUUGCAGGCCAUAUACGGUCUCUGUCACAUAUUCUCUGUUUCUUUCUCUUCUUUUCUCUUUUACAGCCCUUUAAGCACACGAAAAUCAUUCUGAACUCAUAGGUUGUAUCAAGACAGACCAUACACAGGAUUUGAUCCAUGGGCCAUAAAUAAUAAAUAUAAAUAAAAGCAGAUGGUAUAUGAACA